UCCGGAUGCCAGGACCUGAAAUGGGCCGA
rnacentral:piRNA from 1 species